rnacentral:misc_RNA from 1 species
GGGAUGGUGUAUGAGGACCACUCGACCACGGCCGAACAUUUGAAUUGAGGCACCAGGAAUUUGCAAGUCUCGAGCCACAGCUGAUGAACAAAACAAUUUUCUGUAUAUGAUUGGUUUUGGAUCGACCGGCUAAUUUUGAUUAUUUUUUGACUUUUAGUUUAUGGCUGCAUUGAAGAUGAAACUUAUCGGCGAAGAUACAUGAACAUGAAAUUGAUUGUACCUUGAUUUGUUAUUUUCACGAUAAAUUAUACAUCGCAUUGCAGUGACCUUGUUUUUAUAAUUCGAAUUACAUUUCAUCUUCUAGCCAACACUUUGCUUUAGAAUUUGAACUUGAACUUCAAUAAGACUAAAACUAGAAUUAAAGUAACUUGAAGUAGGUAAUUCUAUUUGAUUUUCUUUAAAACUCUAUCAUGGACGGAACGAAGAAACAGGAAGACAUCGACUCAUCAAAGGACAUUAGGAAAACUAAACAAGACCGGGCAAAUGCGAAGAGAAAAUUUAACAGGAAAAUAAUUGGUUUUCAAGAUAUGGUUGAGAGCAAAAGUUUAUUCAUGGCAAUCAAGGCAAAAUUUGAAGAUGUUAUCGACGCAUUCCGUCAGGUAGAAUGCUGUAACGAUUUUGUCACGACGGCAAUCAACGAAACUGGCCCGCACCAUUUAAUCGAUAAGAUGUUGGACGAGUGCGACGAUUAUAUGAUGGAGAUUGAGACAAGUAUGGACAAAGUUAGGACAACAUUUGCGGCUAGAACAAGAGACGAAAAUGUAAAACUGUCGGAAAUUCAUGUAAAACCGUUAAAUUCACCGCAUUUUUCCGGAAAUAUACGCCAAUAUGCCAGUUUUAAGCAGGAUUUCAAUAGACUCAUGACGAAGCAAUAUGGACAAGACCCCUAUGCUCUGCGGCAAUGUUUAUCUGGAGAAGCGUUGGACACUAUUAAAGGGAUUGAAGACAAUUAUUCAGAAAUGUUUAAACGCCUUGAUGCAAAAUAUGGAGAACCAAGAAAAUUAAUAGACGCAAUUGUGUUCGAUAUUCAAAAACUAAAACCAGUACCCGAAGGCGACAGCAGAAAAUUCAUCAACAUGGUUGAUGUAAUAGAACGAAAUUGGCUCGAGCUUCAGCGACUGGGUAUGCAACAAGAAAUGAACAAUACGACGAUGGUAACAAUGAUAGAGAAAUUACUUCCAAGAACGCAACAAAGGGAAUGGGUGACAAAAAUGGAUAAUCAAGGAAAUACUAGCAAAAUCGGAGAUUCAACGUUCCAAGCUCUUCUUUCGUAUCUACUCCAAGAAAAGAGAGUAAUGGAAUAUAUGGAGAAUGACGUGAGACAGACCUCCAAUGUAAGCAGACGCCAGGUAAAUCAAACGAUAAAUUCUGCGGAAGCGAAUUCUAGUGAUCAAACGACUACGAAUGACGCGACUGAGAAUGAUAUGAAGAAAAUUUACAAUCAAAUUCAAAAUAUGGCGGAACGAAUGGAAGAUAUAUUUAAAGGCAAUACAGGAAGCAACAAUGCCGGAAAACGGGGCACCGGUGUCACACAAAUGAAACAUAUUGAACGCCGGGCUUGCUGGAUCCAUAAAACUGACUCUCAUCCAAUCAACGAAUGCAACGUGUUUUUAAAUUCAAAUCACGAAGAGAAGCUACGCCUGCUGCGUCAGAACGGAGCCUGCUUUAAUUGUUAAAAGCAAGGUCACAUUGCGGCUUCAUGUACAACAGUAAACCAAUGCGAUAGGUUGAAUCAUUUACGACAAACAUGUGGAAAAAGACAUCAUCCAUAUCUUCAUCUUGACCAACUUCCUACAAGGGAUAUGCCUCCACAAAAUUCUAUUCAUAUAUCGAGCAACAAAAGACAACAAAAUUUACUUGCUGUGAGUUACCUUCGGUGCAAUGACAGGAAUUUAAUAGCCAUGUGGGAUUCCGGCGCCAAUGUGUCAUUGAUAACCCAUAAAGCGGCAUCGACAUUGAAUCUCACAGGUCACGAUACGACAUUGACGAUAACGAAAGUUGGAAACGAAACGCAAGAUUACAACAGCAAACGCUAUGUUGUUCCGUUGAUUGAUGCCAACGGAAAGCAAUGGGAGGUUCACGCGUACGGCAUUGAAGAAAUUACAUCCGCAUUAGAUAAAUUCGACGUAUCUGCAGUGGCACCUUUAUUCCAAAAUAUCCAGCCUAAAGACAUUGAACGACCUCACGGCAACGUUGAUAUGUUAAUUGGCAUUGAUUGCUGUGCGAUCAUGCCAAUUGUUACUGAAACGAUUGGCAAUCUUCAACUAUUAAAGAAUCAAUUUGGAUAUUGCAUUCGCGGUUGUCUCACUGGAGAAGUGGCUUCUUCCAGACAAGUUCAGAUCAUCCGUGGUUCCAAUAUUUGUGAUGUAAACAAUAUUUACGUUGAACCAUUGACCAGUUUGAAAAGAAAAUUAGACGAAUAUUUCACGGUUGAAAAUCUUGGGACAUGUUGCACUCCUCGAUGCGGUGGUUGCAAGUGUGGCAAAUGCGCUACAGGUACCGGUUGCUACAGCCUACAAGAAGAACGGGAAUUGCGACUGAUAAAGGACGGGCUAGUGUACGAUCACAAGCGGGGAAAAUUCACUGCGCAUUAUCCUUGGAUUAGAGACCCAAAUGAACUCCCUAACAACGUAACCAUCGCCGAAGCAAGAAUGAGAGCCACGGAAAGAAGGUUGCUCAAGAUGGGAAAUGAUCAUGCAAAAGCCUACGACGCGCAAAUACGAGAUAUGGUAGCAAGAGGAGUAGCUAGAAAAUUAUCCAGAGAAGAAAUGCUACACUUUGAAGGGCCGAUACACUAUUUAUGUCACCAUGAAGUUGUAAAGCCCGAUUCAGUAUCAACACCCCUGCGGAUUGUCUUUAACGCGUCAGCGUCAUUCAUGGGACAUGUAUUGAAUGAUUACUGGGCGAAAGGUCCAGAUUUUAUUAACAACCUUUUCGGAGUAUUACUUCGAUUCAGAGAAGAAUCAAUUGGACUGGUGGGGGACAUCAGCAAGAUGUACCAUUCCAUUGAAUUGGCUGAGAGGGACCAGCACGUGCACCGUUUCUUGUGGCGGAACUUGAAUAUAAGCCAGGAACCCACGCAUUACAUGAUGCUAGCAGUGACAUUCGGAGACCGACCAAGCGGAACAAUCUCGAUGGUAGCGUUAAAUUUGAUAGCCGAAAUGAAUCGAAGCAUAUGUGAAAGGGCCACGGAAAUGAUAUUGAAAAACAGCUACGUUGAUGACCUGAUCCAGUCAGGGCCACGGUAUGAAGACGCGCAUUCCCUAGCAGAAGAGGUGCAAGGUAUGUUGCAAAAGGGCGGUUUUAAUGUAAAGCACUGGAUUAUAUCUGGCGAUGACAGCGUUUCCGCAGCAAAAUCUGACGUUACACUUUUGAAUGUUGAUGAAGAAAAGGUGCUCGGCAUGCGUUGGUUGCCUAAGCAGGAUCAUUUCAUGUUUCAAGUCAAAAUCAACUUUUCGCAACGGCAGAAAAGGGUACCGACUGGACCUGACGUAACGAAAACGAACAUCGAUGCUGUGUUUCCAAGGGUAUUAACCAGAAGAAUGGUUUUGGGCCAGGCAGCGCGUAUUUAUGACCCUCUAGGGUUUAUUGCGCCAGUUACGAUAACUUCCAAAAUUCUACUCAGAACAUUGAUAUCCAGAAAGGCCAAUGAACAAGAAACUUCGACAUCAUCUGUAUGGGAUGACCCAAUACCUGAGGAAAGCAGAAACGACUGGAAGUUGUUUUUCAAGGAUUUAUACGAAUUAGAGAAUGUGACCAUUGCAAGAUGUUUGAAGCCAAAAGAAGCCAUCGACGAUCCAGUUUUAAUCGUCUUCUCUGACGCCAGUAUCCAAGCUUAUGGAGCGUGUGCAUAUGUGCAAUGGGAACUUAGUACUGGAAAAUAUGAAGCAAGGCUAAUUGCAGCAAAACACAGGAUAGCACCAGCGAGACAGCUAACGAUUCCCCGAUUAGAGCUUUGUGCAGCUGUACUGGGAUGCAGAUUGCGAGAGACAAUUGAGCGAGAAAUGGAGUACUCCUUCAAAUCAAUAUUUCAUCUUGUCGACUCUGCAAUUGUCCGAGCACAAGUUCAAAAGGAAUCCUACGGGUUCGGUACGUUUGUCGCGACGAAGAUAGCUGAAAUUCAAAAUAAAUCUGAUCCGGGAGAAUGGUGGUGGAUAGCCACUCGGGACAAUCCCGCCGAUUUGGUGACAAGGCCCACUAGUCCCAAUCAAAUCGGACCCAAGUCUAUCUGGCAACAAGGGCCAGAUUUUUUACAAUUACCAGUGGAACAGUGGCCGAUAAGUCAAGCAGUACCAGACCAAGAGCUUCCAGACCGCAUCGGAGUACACGUGAUGAAUAUUGAAAAUCAAGAGGAAAAAGUGGGUAUAGGAGAAAUUGUAAACGUGGACAAGUUCAACAGUUACAACAAGCUGCUAGGAGUUACAGGACGAUUUAUACAGCUGAAAACGGACAAGACAUUGAAAUCCAUCAGCAAGUCACCAACUGCUGAGCAUCUGCAACAGGCAGAAGCAAUGUGGAUCGAACAUGUUCAAAAAGCGCUGUUGAAAACCGAUUGGAAAAUUCGAUUCCGACGUCUGGGACCGAGCAUUAACAGUGAUGGCGUCAUAGUUGUUGGACAAAGGAUAACGAAGUGGCUUAAAGACAAUUGGAACCAAGACGCAUUUGUCCUUCUUCCAGCAGACCACAGAUUCACCACAUUGUUUAUCAAACAUGUACAUGAUUGUGAUCAUGCUGGUGUUGAAGUGACAUUGGCCAAAGUGCAAAAGAAAUUUUGGGUUCCAAGAGCACGCAAAAUCAUCAAACAAAUCAAGAAUGAUUGUGUUACCUGCCGACGGAUCGACAAGAAGCUACAGAGUCAGGUCAUGGGAGAACUUACACUUGAAAGACUCCAACCAUCUCCGGCAUUCUAUCAUACCUCUCUGGACCUUUUUGGACCGUUUCUGAUAAGGGAUACGGUGAAGAAACGAACAAGAACGAAAGCCUAUGGGGUCAUUUUCACCUGCAUGGCUACCAGGGCGGUAUACCUCGAUAUAGUUGAUGGCUAUGCUGCCAAAGAUUUCUUGGUAACCUUUCGCCGUUUCGUGACAAUUCGAGGAUAUCCCGCAUCCAUUCAUUCGGAUAUGGGGUCACAAUUAGUUGCAGCCAACAAAGAGCUCCGGAAUAUGUCAGAAAACUUAGACUGGUCUGAAAUUUGUCGGUCUGGUGCAUUGCAAGGGCUGACAUGGACAUUCAACAAAUCAGCUGAUGCACCGUGGCAGAACGGCUGCAGCGAGUCAUUGAUCCGUCUCGUGAAGAGAGCCCUGUUGAUCGCUAUAGGAGAUAGCGUGCUCACGGUGGGAGAACUGCAAACUGUGCUCUUCGAAGUCGCUAACUUGUUGAAUGAAAGGCCGAUAGGUCACAGACCAGGGGCCGACCCAGAGCUUGGCUCUUAUCUGUGCCCAAAUGAUCUGAUUUUGGGACGAACGGGCAUUGCGGUCCCACAAGGGCCCUUGGCUACGACAGCAAAACUUUGUCACAGACAGCAAGCCAUUCAGCGAGUCGUGACAUCGUUUUGGAAAAAAAUGGCAACGGGACUAUUUCUCAACUUUACUCGUACGACAGAAAUGGCAUGUAGAGAAACGGGAUAUGAAAGCUGGUGACAUUGUCCUGGUCCAAGACAACAACGCACUUCGAGGGCAAUGGAAACUAGCGGAAGUAAAGGAGGCAUUGGUGGGUCAAGAUGGGAAAGUUAGAAACGUCAUACUAAGAUACAAAUGUCAGUCGCGCGACAAGAGCGAAUACACAGGGCAAGCUGACACAAUAAUCACACGAUCAGUACACCGCUUGGUUCUCAUCCUCGAAGCUGAAGAUCCUACCGGCGCUGAAGUCGUCGCUACCGGCGGGGGGAGUGUAUGAGGACCACUCGACCACGGCCGAACAUUUGAAUUGAGGCACCAGGAAUUUGCAAGUCUCGAGCCACAGCUGAUGAACAAAACAAUUUUCUGUAUAUGAUUGGUUUUGGAUCGACCGGCUAAUUUUGAUUAUUUUUUGACUUUUAGUUUAUGGCUGCAAUGAAGAUGAAACUUAUCGGCGAAGAUACAUGAACAUGAAAUUGAUUGUACCUUGAUUUGUUAUUUUCACGAUAAAUUAUACAUCGCAUUGCAGUGACCUUGUUUUUAUAAUUCGAAUUACAGAUGGGAGGGGGACAAACUGUAUUCGCCACCGACACUUAUCACCUCCAAACAAUGAGAUGACUGGCGCAAUGCGUAGCCCCCGCCACCCGUGACCGAUCCAGCGCUGCUCCGUCUGCUCAUCACUCACCGG